UAGGUACUUCCUCCGUCCAAAAAUACUUGUCAUCAAAAUAAAUAAAAAGUGAUGUAUCUAGAUGUAUUUUAGUUUUAAAUACAUUUCUUUUCAUCCAUUUUGAUGACAAGAAUUUUCGGACGAAGGGAGUAUAUU
rnacentral:pre_miRNA from 1 species